GCUUUUUGCAUUUGGAAUCUGUUGCUGUCAACUCUCAAUAUGAGAUCCAAAGAGCUGUCACUAUCAGUGAAGCAAGCCAUCAUUAGGCUGAAAAAACAAAACAAACCCAUCAUAGAGAUAGCAAAAACAUUAGGUGUGGCCAAAUCAACUGUUUGGAACAUCCUUAAAAAGAAAGAAUGCACCGGUGAGCUCAGCAAUACCAAAAGACCCGGAAGACCACGG